UGCGUAGGCGGAAUAUUAAGUCAGUGGUGAAAUCUUCCGGCUCAACCGGGAACCUGCCAUUGAUACUGUUAGUCUUGAGUUCGGCUGAGGUAGGCGGAAUGUGUAAUGUAGCGGUGAAAUGCUUAGAUAUUACACAGAACACCAAUUGCGUAGGCAGCUUACUAGACCGACACUGACGCUGAGGCACGAAAGCGUGGGGAGCGAACAGGAUUAGAUACCCUGGUAGUCC
rnacentral:rRNA from 1 species